rnacentral:lncRNA from 1 species
GGCAUGAGCUCUAGUACAUUGACCUCUCGCAGACCUGAAAGUCAAGUUUUUGGCUAUUGAAAAAUCAAAUAAUAGAGACGAAGAAAGCCAUAUAGAUUCUCAAUAAGGGAGGAACUCGACCUCGGCCAGCCGGCCAGGAAUGAUGACCAAUUGCUUGAACCUCGGAUGAGGACAUGGAGGAAGAUGGGCCGGCCAGAGCCGCAGGCAGAAAUAAUAAGACUCAAACUUUCAAAGAUGCUGGGUGAAGGUGAAUCGCCUUCAAACUGAGGAUUCACAAUGACUUUGACUCAGACUUACCAUCCUCCAAGACAAAGGAGUAGCGGGGUUCGCUAGCCGACCUUGCCUGAAAGUACUUUUCUCUUACGGGGUAAAGAAUCGCUUCGCUUAAACUAAAGCUUUUUCUCUUGCUGGCUUUCCACCAUUCAAACUCCGGCCAGAGCCGCAGACAGUCAGUCACCUCCUUACUCAUAUAACUCUGCCUCUGAUCUGCCAAAACCUGCUACCGGGUGAUUAGAUACCAGCAUCUACACACGAGGUGCAGGGAGUAAGUGAGUACUCCAACUCAGUUAGUAAUAAAGGUAAAUAACAACUGAGCGGUAAGAAAUCACGUAUGACAAAUCACUAUGCUACAUAGAAGCAGUGUAAACCCUUUUGAGAAAAAUAGUGAAGCUACGAAAUCUUUAGCGAAACACCUUUGCUCACUUUAAAACCUCUUUAAAAAUGACAUCUUUCAACGGUUAUCAAGGAAUGACAGAGUAUCAGGUCUAUAUUGCGAGAAGUAGCACAAAAUAACAGAUAAUAGUAGACAAAUAAGAUAAUGUAAACACUUCAAACAGUACCAGUACCUGCUGCGGCGUGCAGCCUGCUCCACAUAUCGCUGUGGCAUGUAGCCCGAUCUAUUUAUUGUCUACAACACUCACUGGGGUGUGAAGACUCUGGGAGGGGCCCCUUACGGCCCAAGCGCAAUAUCAAUCCAUCUCGUGGCAUCAAAUCUAUGCCCUCGUCCUCAUAUCAGUAUCAGCAUAACACUGCUGCAGCGUGCAACCCGAUCCAUAUAUAUACUUAUUGUUGCGGCGUGCAGCUCGAUCCAAAAGCACCUCAUUAUACAGGCCCUCAGCCUUACUCAGUCAACAAAAAUUACAUAAGCCACUCGGGCAACAAUAAAGAUGAUGCUCAGCCUAAAAUAUUAUUUAGAAUAUCAUUUCAAGUGUUAAUGUAGAGUAAACUUGGCUGAGUUUCUGAAAAUAGUGGAAAAUACAUGACUAUGUUCAAGUAUAAAAUCUAAACAAUGAGGAAAUAUCAACAAUCAUCCUCGAAGGGGUUUAAAUAAUUUGGCACGAAGCUCAAAUAUGAAAAUCAGCCCAAGUCAUGAUGAAAACAAAUAAGCUCCACCCAAAUACACGGUAGAAUCAUCAAUCGGGACAUGCCAAGUCGCAAUCCCCAAUGGUGAUCUACCCCACGCUCGCUAUCCGCGUGCAAGUCACCUCAAUAUAACACUAUGAUGUGCAAUCAGGGGUCUCAAACCCAUAGGAUAUCAUUUACAAUCAUUACUCACCUCGAACCGGCAAAAUCUCUAGCUCGCGACGUCUUUGACUCUCAAUUCGGCCUCCACACGCAUCGAAUCUAUCCAAAAACAUAGCAAAUACAUCACAAUAUGCUAAGGGAACAAAGUCCAAGCGAAAACAAACAAUAACGGGCAAAAAUCCCGAAACUACCAAAACUCGAGGCACGGGUCCACUUCUCGAAACUCAAAAAUUUUUACAUCAUCGGGUUCCUUAUCUCUCCACAAGUCCAUUCAUAUAAAGAACACCAAAAUCGGAGUCCAAAUGACCGCUCAAAUCCCAAAUUACAAAUUCCAAA